AUGGGCGAGCCUGAUGCAGCGACGCCGCGUGAGGGAUGACGGCCUUCGGGUUGUAAACCUCUUUCAGCAGGGACGAAGCGCAAGUGACGGUACCUGCAGAAGAAGCACCGGCUAACUACGUGCCAGCAGCCGCGGUAAUACGUAGGGUGCAAGCGUUGUCCGGAAUUACCGGGCGUAAAGAGUUCGUAGGCGGUUUGUCGCGUCGUUUGUGAAAACCAGCAGCUCAACUGCUGGCUUGCAGGCGAUACGGGCAGACUUGAGUACUGCAGGGGAGACUGGAAUUCCUGGUGUAGCGGUGAUGGGCGA
rnacentral:rRNA from 1 species